AUUGAACGCUGGCGGCAGGCCUAACACAUGCAAGUCGAACGAGUGGCGGACGGGUGAGUAAUGUCUGGGAAACUGCCUGAUGGCGGGGGAUAACUACUGGAAACGGUAGCUAAUACCGCAUACCAUCGGAUGUGCCCAGAUGGGCUUAGCUAGUAGGUGGGGUAAAGGCUCACCUAGGCGACGAUCCCUAGCUGGUCUGAGAGGAUGACCAGCCAAACUGGAACUGGGAAACGGUCCAGACGCCUACGGGAGGAAGCAGAGGGGAAUAUUGGAAAAGGGGCGAAAGCCGGAUGCAGACAUGCGGCGUGUAGGAAGAAGGCCUUGGGGUGGUAAAGUACGUUCAGCGGGGAGGCGUUACCCGCAGAAGAAGCACCGGCUAACUCCGUGCCAGCAGCCGCGGUAAUUC
rnacentral:rRNA from 1 species